CGCGUAGGCGGGAACAUAAGUCAGACGUGAAAUCCUGGAGCUCAACUCCAGAACAGCAUUUGAAACUAUAUUUCUUGAGGGUAGGCGGAGAAAACGGAAUUCCACAUGUAGCGGUGAAAUGCGUAGAUAUGUGGAAGAACAUCGGUGGCGAAGGCGGUUUUCUAGCUUAUUCCUGACGCUGAGGCGCGAAAGCAAGGGAGCAAACA
rnacentral:rRNA from 1 species